UAUUUCUGAAAAGGAUUCCUAUAAAUGUGCCUUUAUGAUAGCAAAAUUGAAUUCCUUCCAAUCAUCUGUUCUUUCUGGAAGAUUUCUUCAUGUUCCAUAUUCCAAACAACUCUGUGUACGUGGG